rnacentral:rRNA from 1 species
AGUUGCAGGUCAGCAUACUGCGGUGAAUACGUUCCCGGGCCUUGUACACACCGCCCGUCAAGCCAUGGAAGCCGGGAGUGCCUGAAGUCCGUCACCGCAAGGAGCGGCCUAGGGCAAAAUCGGUAACUAGGGCUAAGUCGUAACAAGGUAGCCGUACCGGAAGGUGCGGCUGGAUCACCUCCU